rnacentral:misc_RNA from 1 species
CGCACAUUGCGCCCUUUGGUAUUCCGAAGGGCAUACCCGUUCGAGCGUCAUUACACCACUCAAGCCUGGCUUGGUAUUGGGCGGCGAGGCAUCCUCGCGCCCCAAUCUCUUCGGCGGGAUCGACCCAAAUUGCAAGCGUUGUAACAUACAAAUUCGCACCGCAAAUUGGGGAUUCAUCUCACGCCGUUAAAUAUUGAACAAGGUUGACCUCGGAUCGGGUAGGGAUACCCGCUGAACUUAA